AGAGUUUGAUCCUGGCUCAGGACGAACGCUGGCGGCGUGCCUAAUACAUGCAAGUCGUACGAAGCGCCUAUUCUUGAAGUCUUCGGAUGGAAGGAAUAGCUGCUUAGUGGCGGACGGGUGAGUAACACGUAGGCAACCUGCCUGCAAGCUGGGGAUAACUAGCGGAAACGUUAGCUAAUACCGAAUGGUCAGUGAGGGGG
rnacentral:rRNA from 1 species